rnacentral:lncRNA from 1 species
AAUAGCAACUUAUCUAAACUAAUAUCGUCUACAAUGUAAUUUUUACUUAUUUACUUUAAUAAUUUUAACAAUUAUAAUCUUUAAUUACUACAUCUAAAAGAAUAUUCUCAUGCAUAACAUCUCCAAAAGAUAGCAAAUGAUCAUCUAUGACUUCUACAUGUAUAGUUUUAGUUUUUUUGACUAAUGAUAUCUCUUGUUUUUUUGACAAAAUCUUUGUCUAUAAAACAAGCUGAGGCUCUUAAAUCUAACAAAGCUAAGACUUUGUGAUUUUUUGGUCUUAAAUAAACUUCUAUUGUAAAACAAGGUGAAGAAUCAAAGAAGAGAAUAUAACCUUUACUAGAAGUUACACAAAAUUCUAAUCACGUGAUCUCUAUUGUAGCUAGAAAAACUUGUUUUCCAACACAUCAUCUUAUUUGACAACCAUGCUUCUCAUUUUGUAGUUGCAUUGUUUCUUUGGACAAUAUUGAGUAGUGUAUUUAGUUUCUCCACAAUAUAA